rnacentral:lncRNA from 1 species
UGCCUUGAGUUUUGUAGGCAGAAAAGUGAGACUUCAGUACCUGUUGGACAGCAGAAUGUACCUCCUGCCAGCAGCCCAUGAUGUACAGUAUCUUACCGGCCCAGCAUGGUGAUCCUCUUUUGUAGAGGAACCCAGUGCAGGCCUUCCUUUUGACUGAAAACUGACCACGCAAAACAAGCUGCCCAGGGUCUGCAAGUGCCUGCAUUACUCCCAUCUCUGGAAAAGACCAUGAACAUGAAGAUCCCCGUUGGAAUCGUUAAAAGGAUCCAGGUAUCACCAGCACAGGGGUGAAGGAAGCCAAAGGGGUUUUACCAGAGCCAGUAGAGCUGCACUGUUUAUAGCAGGUGCAGAUUCUGAAACUGCCACAGUAAAAUGCUCGACAACCAUGCCUGUUACUUCCUUCCCUCCCGCUCCUUCAGCUAAGGAAGCUGAGUCCUUGACAUGGAGCAACUUCAGCUUGGUUUGAUUGCCAUGAGAUGUUGCAUCUCAUUUAAACCAAUGGACUGCUUGUGCAGGUGCUAGGACUCUAUGGAUGGCUGAAGAACUCACAAGUCC